AUAUUUUUUUUUUAGAGAAAAAAAAUAUUGAAAAUAUUAUGAAGCUAGUAAAAGAAAAUCAUACAAUGGUGGAUUAUACAUGGUAUGAACCAAAAAUACUCGGAAUACAUAAUUUUUGUUUAGGUUUCCCUAAGUUGGAGAUACUUUCUUUCAUUCUGGGUUAUCCAUGCUGAUCUCUUCCAAUUUAAGCUAUUCAAUGAACUAUAACAAUAAAUCUGGAGACAAAUCAUUUGAGGAAGUCAAUUUUUUAGAGAAAAACACACCAGUUUCUCCACCGAAAAAUGGUCGGGCAAUGCUGGAUCCUGUCAACAGCAUCGAAGUCUAGCACUCUCAGAUUGUGUGAAUUAUCCUGAUAAGCUCAUGAUGUGGUCCUUUUCUAACGUUGAUUCUCAAUUAGGAUUCCAAAGUAAUCUGCGACUCUGGGCAGGAGGGGCUAAUCCUGGAAUGUCCCGAAUGUCCUUGUUGUUCGGGUUUACAAGCUUCACAAUAAUGAUUGCUAUGACCCCAAUGACAAUAAGUACAAGCAUUGCCAUAAUGCACUUGUCAGUUGCAACCUGCCUACCGAUUUCCUUCACCAACUGAGAAGCUUUCUUAAUUGAGAAAUGGAUAGAGUCAAGCUCAUUAACAAUCCUAC
rnacentral:misc_RNA from 1 species